rnacentral:lncRNA from 1 species
ACACACGCCAUGACUUUUGUAGGAAGGAUGAAAAAAGCCUGGGCUAGGAACAAGAGGAUCUGAAGUCUAGUUCUCACUCUUACUCCAUUGCUGGCUACUUGAAUGGUCCCUAAAGUUCUUUAUGACUCAUCUGUAAAAUAAAAGCAUUGGCUAUAACAACCUUGACAUGGUCUGCUCUGAAACCACAAGUGUAAACACAAAGUACUGAAUGAAUGCAGAUAAAAAGGACCUUUAGGAAGGAGAUAAUUACCUAGUAUAGGUUCAGCUUAAAAUUAAUGGGUUAUCAGGCACUCUUCCCUUAAAACUUUUCCAAAAAUGAAUAUCACAACUACUUUCCCCAGCCCAGCACUUAGCACCCACCCACAGUCCUCUCUCGUCCUAUCAUCCCAGUCUACUCCUUUUUAUUCACCCUCUGUUUGAAACUGGACUGUUUGUUCUUCUCUAAACAAUUUGUGUAUUUAAACCUCCACGCUUUGACUCCCACUAUUCAUUCCACAUUGAAUCUCCUUCUGUCCCUAUCUGGGUAUUUCUAAAUCCUUUCCUAUGUUUUAAUUCCUGUGUUUUAAUACAUCCUUUGAGAAGCCUUCUGAACCUUCACAGAAUUUAUUUUCCUUUAUUCCUUAUGUCCUUCAACAUUUCUGCCUCUAUUUUGCAGAUGUGGCUUCUUUCUGUCUCCACAUUGUAAGCUUCUUGAAGGCAGUGGCUCCACCUUAUUUAUCUAUCACCCAACAACACGUAUUGCCAGAUAAGGCAAUAAAAUGUGCUGAAUAUAUUAUAGAAAGAUAAUUAUGAAUAUGACACAAUAACAAGACACUAUUUUUAAUGAACAAAUAUCUGAUAGAUUUUUUUCCACUUUAAAUGUGUCCAGAAUCAGAAUUCUAUAGCAGAAAGUUAGAGAUCAUGUGGUUCAAUUUCCUUCCUUUGAAGAAAACGAGGUCAGGAGAAGCUGACCACCUUACUAUGGUCACACUGCUCUUCUAUUUAGAAUAAAAACAAAACCAGACCAGCACUUUCCUAACCUUCCAACUCUCUCUCACCAUAAUGAUCUGCCCUUUCUCUUUCCAUAUGGAACAAUGGAAUAAAACAUAUGAAUCAUAGGAACCCAACAAUGAAUGAAACACAUUAUAUCUGUUGACAUAAUAAACUUGCGUAUCAGCUAAACCUAGCAUUUCCCAUUUCUCAAUCCUAAUUAUUCUUUUACCGUGCUAUUUCCUGUCCACCUAUUCGCUUUGGAAAAAAGGAUGCCUAACAACAAGGAGGGUCACUGUGGUAAUGACUGUCUUGAGACAGGCAGAAUUCUGACUGGACUGAGUUCAGCAGCCACCACGCAAGAGGCUGAUUUGCAUGUGGUUCUCUGAUGUGCUUUGGGAGACGACACCUCCUCUCAUCAAGCAUUAUCUGUCUGGCAUGCUUUUAACAGGACUGAAGUAAACAUAUAUAUUGGAGAAAUAUAGGAAAGGUGUGUUCUGAAAAACAAAUAUGUACACAGAGAUGAUGAAGCCAUAACACGAAUGUGUUACAUCCUUAGAGCAUCUUGGCUCAUUCCCGUAUUUGUUCAUAAACAUUUCACAAGCACAUCCUUUGUGCCAGGAACUUGCCAUAUUGUUUUGUAACCAAUGACACAUCUGUCUCCCCUGUUGGACUGUGAGUUCUUGCAGUCUAGUAAAGAGGGCAGGUAAUUCGAUAAAGGGUUAAAAGCCACUGUAAAUGUAGGAUUAGAGGAAUGUAGGCAGACGGUGAUGGGGACGUGGACAUGGGGCUGAUGGAGCACCCAACUGCCCAGCUGUGGGCUGACAGGAUAGUGUGGGUGGUUGAGGGUUGAGCUGGCUUUUGAAGUGUACAGAGAAUUCGCCAGCCAGAUAAGAGCGGAACGCAUCUGAGAGUGAAAAGAUUAUGCAAAGGCUCAGGCGUAUAAAAGAACCAUGUCACAUUCAGGAACUCUGAGGAGUGAGGAGUAGCAAGAGAGCAGUGGGUACUUGGAGCAAAUACGAUUGGAGACAAGGCUGGUGAGGCAGGCGGGAGAAAGCAGGGCUCAGUGUGCCCUGUACUGGAAUCUGCUCUUGCUCUGGGUUGAAGAUAGCAAGUGCAUCUCUGGGCAACUACUGCAGCUGGCUGUGGGGGACUGAUGCAUACUGUUGAGGCUGAUCUUACUCUGUCUCCUCUCUAUAAUCAAAAUGUGUCUCUGGAAGCUACUUCCCACCAUCCCUUGGCCAUUGGCACCUGGGCUUCUCACCUGUUCUGC